CAAUAGCGUAUAUUAAAGUUGUUGCAGUUAAAAGCUCGUAGUUGGAUUUCGGAGUGGGCCAGUUGGUCCGCCGCAAGGUGUGUUACUGACUGGUUUGCUCUUCUUCGCAAAGACUGCGUGUGCCCUUAAAUGAGUGUGCGUAGGAUUUACGACGUUUACUUUGAAAAAUUAGAGUGUUCAAAGCAGGCUAUUGCUUGAAUACAUGAGCAUGGAAUAAUGGAAUAGGACUUUGGUCCCAUUUUGUUGGUUUCUAGGGCCGAAGUAAUGAUAAAGAGGGACAGACGGGGGCAUUCGUAUUACGGUGUUAGAGGUGAAAUUCUUGGAUCGCCGUAAGACGAACUACUGCGAAAGCAUUUGCCAAGCAUGUUUUCCUUAAUCAAGAACGAAAGUCAGAGGUUCGAAGAUGAUCAGAU
rnacentral:rRNA from 1 species